AAAGACACGCUAUUUAAAUACAGAUCCAACUUAGAAAUAAUGUUUCAUUCAAGAUAAGGCUCGUGGCUUAGGAGAUUGUGACCUGGCUUGCAUCAUUCUAAGACUUCUAUCGUCUGUUUUCAAAACCCAAGGAGGACCUCCUUUUCUGUGUGAUAGUUCCUCAUGCUUUGCCAGCCACUGGGUCUUUAAGGAAGCUUGCCAAGAGUUCCCGGCUGGGAAGGACAGUUCGAGUUCAUCAUAGACAAUGAGCUGGCACCACAGUUUAAGUGACUCACCAACCUGGUUGCCCACUUCAAAAUGUCAAGAACCACACUAUCUAAUUGAAAGAACUGUGUUUUAGCAAAGUGUAAUUGGAUCGCCUGGCAAGAUCAUCUCAAACUAUGUCUCUGACCUUGCCUUUCAGUGGCUAUUUUGAGCACAAGAGGAGAAAGGAAAUGAUUCCUGAAUUAUAUCUUGUUUUUAAAAAUUAAGAUUAAUUAAUACUUGGUUUUAUGUUCAUUCCAUUGUAGGAACUUAGUGAUUAUUACAAAACAGUCAAAAUAGGUCAUAGCAAAAUGAACGUUUAAGAUUAGGUUAAAACAUUCCUCUGAAAUUUUAGUAUUCACUUUUGAAGUGUCAAUUACUAUAUUUCUGUAAUUUCUCAUUUUUUUCUUGGCUUAGAGUCAAGAUGAAAAAUGAUAUUUGAAUCAAAG
rnacentral:lncRNA from 1 species